AUUGAACGCUGGCGGCAGGCCUAACACAUGCAAGUCGAGCGAGCGGCGGACGGGUGAGUAAUGUAUGGGGACUGCCCGAUCGAGGGGGAUAACUCCUGGAAACGUUAGCUAAUACCGCAUACUAUCGGAUAACCCAGAUGGGAUUAGCUAGUAGGUGAGGUACUGGCUCACCUAGGAGACGAUCCCUAGCUGGUCUGAGAGGAUGAUCAGCCCCACUGGACCUGGGACACGGUCCCGACUCCUACGGAGGCAGCAGUGGGGUAUAUUGCACAAUGGGCGCAAGCCUGAUGCAGCCAUGCCGCGUGUAUGAAGAAGGCCCUGGGGUUGUAAGGUACUUUCAGUCGGGAGGCGUUACCUGCAGAAGAAGCACCGGCUAACUCCGUGCCAGCAGCCGCGGUAAUUC
rnacentral:rRNA from 1 species